rnacentral:rRNA from 3 species
GGCGGGACACGUGGUAUCCUGUCUGAAUAUGGGGGGACCAUCCUCCAAGGCUAAAUACUCCUGACUGACCGAUAGUGAACCAGUACCGUGAGGGAAAGGCGAAAAGAACCCCGGCGAGGGGAGUGAAAAAGAACCUGAAACCGUGUACGUACAAGCAGUGGGAGCCUCUUUAUGGGGUGACUGCGUACCUUUUGUAUAAUGGGUCAGCGACUUAUAUUCUGUAGCAAGGUUAACCGUAUAGGGGAGCCGAAGGGAAACCGAGUCUUAACUGGGCGUUAAGUUGCAGGGUAUAGACCCGAAACCCGGUGAUCUAGCCAUGGGCAGGUUGAAGGUUGGGUAACACUAACUGGAGGACCGAACCGACUAAUGUUGAAAAAUUAGCGGAUGACCUGUGGCUGGGGGUGAAAGGCCAAUCAAACCGGGAGAUAGCUGGUUCUCCCCGAAAGCU